rnacentral:rRNA from 1 species
UGGCUCAGGACGAACGCUGGCGGCGUGCUUAACACAUGCAAGUCGAGCGAUGAAGCUCCUUCGGGAGUGGAUUAGCGGCGGACGGGUGAGUAACACGUGGGUAACCUGCCUCAUAGAGGGGAAUAGCCUUUCGAAAGGAAGAUUAAUACCGCAUAAGAUUGUAGUACCGCAUGGUACAGCAAUUAAAGGAGUAAUCCGCUAUGAGAUGGACCCGCGUCGCAUUAGCUAGUUGGUGAGGUAACGGCUCACCAAGGCGACGAUGCGUAGCCGACCUGAGAGGGUGAUCGGCCACAUUGGGACUGAGACACGGCCCAGACUCCUACGGGAGGCAGCAGUGGGGAAUAUUGCACAAUGGGGGAAACCCUGAAUGCAGCAACGCCGCGUGAGUGAUGACGGCCUUCGGGUUGUAAAACUCUGUCUUUGGGGACGAUAAUAACGGUACCCAAGGAGGAAGCCACGGCUAACUACGUGCCAGCAGCGGC